UACGUAGGGGGCUAGCGUUGUCCGGAUUUAUUGGGCGUAAAGAGCGUGUAGGCGGCCAUGUAGGUCCGGUGUGAAAACUCGAGGCUUAACCUCGAGACGUCGGCGGAAACCCUCUGGCUAGAGUCCGGAAGAGGAGAGUGGAAUUCCUGGUGUAGCGGUGAAAUGCGCAGAUAUCAGGAAGAACACCCGUGGCGAAGGCGGCUCUCUGGGACGGUACUGACGCUGAGACGCGAAAGCGUGGGGAGCAAACAGG
rnacentral:rRNA from 1 species